AUGUAUAGAUAAACAUUCCUAAGCUUACUUAAACGGUAUUUUAACCAAAUGUAAUGACUAAUGAGUAUAACUAACUUUAGAAGUUAGAACUUAGUACUUAUAAAGCAAUAUCUUCGUGAGCUCUGCUUGUUCCAUCAUGUGGAGAAGCCUCAUUGGUUGUCAAAAAACUUUACAAAUUCUAAAAAGAAAAAGCCAAAAGUUGUAAUGUGGAGGGAGAAUAUAUAAAGUUAUAACAUUCAAACACAUAUCAAGCAUACACUUUGCAUUUGAUAAGAGAAAGACAGAAACCAAUCAGCGUCUCCAGAUUUCCCUCUUCAACUGCCUUCUCGACAAAGUUGAUAUAGGAUCUGAGGACUGGCUCGGCCGUUCACGUGUCACAAUGAGCUUUAAAUCGGGCCGUACGUUAUGUCAAGUCUUUUGUGCUCGCGUGUAUCGAAACAAUCCUCUCUCCAUUGCGAUGGAAUUUUUGAUAGAAGAAUCCAGAGAAAACGAAUGAAAACCUUUCACGUAUGUAAAAAUCACCUAAACAGUGUUUUAGUAAAAAUGAAAAAAAUACAGUUAUAGUGGUCUUGAUUCUUUUGGUAAAAAAGAAACUAAAGCUUAUUAAAUGGUUGGCUUAGAGCAUGUUCAACGCAGGAGCUCCGACACGGAAUCAUAGAUAAUUUUUUUUUUCUGAUAAAAAAUAAAUAAAUAAAUAAAAGGCGAACCAAUUGCGGGUCACCACGGGUUAGUGGACCCGUGAACAGUGAAAGAAACGAUGAAAGAAACGAAAAAAGAUCGGUCUUUAUAUACGACCCGUAAGACCCGUUUCUUAAAAAAACAAUGGGAUCCACUGAUUUUUUUAAUUAUUUUUUUUAUAGGAACCCAAAGCUAAGAGCAUCAUUAACGGUUGAAAUCUAUGACAGUUUCUUAAAAAAGAAAAAUAAUAAUAUUAUAAUUAUUUUAGCUAGUUAAAACCUGUUUAAACAUUGUUUAAUUGACAACUGUCUUAAAAACUUAGUAACCGUUUCUUCAAUCACCUAGAUAAGAACUUUUGUACGUUCUCUCUCCUAAUUUAGUUAAAUUUUUUUUUUUUAAAUAUUAAGAACCCUUGUUAGAUUCUCUCGUUAAAGCUGCUCUAAGAACCUGCGUUGAACAUGGCCUUACGGUUUUCCAGACUUUAUAAUUAGCUGUCAAGUAAAGGAUACACACGAAGGAGAUAAAUAAGCUUUAAAUUGUACACUACCAUGUAUGAAAGAUUUAAACAAAAGUAAAACCAAACUAAAACGAAUUAUAGGACCUCUAGAGGGCCCUCUAUAGAGCGUAGAGACGAAUGGUAUCUGACAUAACAUUUGCUUGUACAAUCUAAAAAAAAUAUUUUUAUAUAUUAAAACAGAAGUCACAACUCUUUUUUUACGUGUGAUUUUUUUUUAAUUGGACCUACUUCAAAUAUUUGAUUAAUUGUAUCAUCGUAGUAACCUAAUAAUAUCACGAAAUCUUAAUCUAUGAUUUUGUUUGUUUACCUUGAUGUCACUUUAAAACUCUGUUAAAGUUUAUAACUUUUCUCAGAUCUUUUGUCUGUCGAUUAUUACCCAAGUCUUGUCAAGGAUCAGAUCGAAGAUUAGAUUUUUGUUUGGAACCCUAUUCAAGGUGUUUUUCUGUGGAUCAAAGGUGAAAAAGAUGAAUUUACAACCUUCGACAAAACGCAUCCAUGUCUCUCGAGGAGAUGAUGGAAUUUGAUUGCAGCAAGGAUUUUGUUGUUUUUCCUAAUCUCCAACGUGUCAGUUUACUUGCCAACAACAUCGUUCCCCCUCUCAGAUUAUUUAUAAGGAGGAUAAUGGAACAAUAUCUCAUCUGUAUCAUCAUCGCAGUUAUCAAUCCUCAUAGCCAGUCAGUCUCUAGCUCAAGAUCCACAGAGAUAUUAGGUUUUACUAAUCAUCCGGGUGAGUAUAUAUAAAAAACAUUUUACUAAUCAUCACUGUCUUACUAAUCAUCCCGGUGAGUAUAUAUAAAAAACAUCAGGAAGCGUUAGACAUUGUAUAUAAACAGCCAUUAGAAAAAGUUGUUUCGAGAUGGUGUUAUAACAAACCUUAAAGAAACAAAGCCGCGUUAGUCAGUGCAUCAGAUUCGCCGUUAUCAAUCCUCAUUGUAGGAUUUGGAGACGCCGACUUUGAAGAGAUGGAUUUAAAGAGAUGGAUGUACAAGUCUAUGUCUUCUAAAAAAGGAAAAAGAUAUUGAUGAUUCGUACAACUGCGAGUAUGAUAUUUUGUGUAAACUAUGUUUUUUUUGUUUUGGUGGUAUCUUAUAGAUACUAGACCCAAAUAGAGAACACCGUUUUGCGAGUGCAACGGGGUGAUUAACUUCACGAGAUACCAUUCAGUUGUAUCUAUAAGACAAUUGACAACACAAAACAAUCUUCAGAAAGAUGAUGACGAAACUGCAGAAACUGUAGAACAAGAUGAUAAUGAUGAUGAAACUGCUGCCAUUGAAGAGAUGGAGAAGCCUUUUGUUUUCAGUGACCAACCCACAAGGUAACUGAAGAUAGCAGGAGAAAAUUGCAAAGUCAAAAGAGAACAAAAGAGGCAAAAAGAAGUCUGAAAGUGUGGAGGAUCAAUCUAAAGUAAGGAAGCAAAAAAAAACGAGAGCUAAAUUGAAGAUGGAAAUUGCUGAAGUAAAGCUAGGAAAGAUUUCUCACAGCUCAUCAAAAACCAUGAACUGAAAAGAAAAAGAAAAUGCUUCGGACUGUCUUAUAUUUUUGUACUUGACAAUGUGUUAAAUGAACACAUCUAAAGGGAAGAGAAAAGAAGAGUUACGAGAGAGAAGUCGAAUGAGAAGCAAUGAUUCAAUGCCUUUGCAUCAGACACUAUCAUCUAUGCUCAUAGGAAAGUCAAAGGUGCCAUACAUUGGCUUGCUAUUUUUAUAUAUUGAUUCACGAACUAUGCGUAACAUUAAAAUCUAAAAACAGAAUGGACACCAUGGACAGAUCUUAUAUAUCCAAUUUUUGUUGUGGUUGCAGAA